ensembl:snoRNA SNORA63 Small nucleolar RNA SNORA63
UUGCAGGAUAAGUUACAGAGUAGCUGUUAAGUGCUACCCUGUCGUUCCCCCUGCAGAAAGAAAAAUCUGUUUCUUACUAUCCCUGUCUGUCUGCAUCCUACAGCUGUCAGGGACGCUUAGUUACAGACAC